rnacentral:misc_RNA from 1 species
AAGAGACGUUGCCCUCGGGGUAUACCUCCCACCCUUGUUAUAUUAUACCACUUUGUGGCUUGGCGGGCCCGUCCUCGGACCACCGGCUUCUGCUGGUCAGUGCCCGCUCAGAGGACCUAAAACUCUGUUUGUUAAUAUUGUCUGAGUACUAUAUAAUAGUUA